rnacentral:tRNA from 1 species
GGCGGCAUAGCCAAGUGGUAAGGCAGAGGUUUGCAAAACCUUCAUCCCCCGGUUCGAAUCCGGGUGCCGCCUCCA